rnacentral:rRNA from 1 species
UACGUAGGGUGCAAGCGUUAAUCGGAAUUACUGGGCGUAAAGCGUGCGCAGGCGGUUAUGCAAGACAGAUGUGAAAUCCCCGGGCUCAACCUGGGAACUGCAUUUGUGACUGCAUAGCUAGAGUGCGGCAGAGGGAGAUGGAAUUCCGCGUGUAGCAGUGAAAUGCGUAGAUAUGCGGAGGAACACCGAUGGCGAAGGCAAUCUCCUGGGCCUGCACUGACGCUCAUGCACGAAAGCCAGGGGAGCGAACGGG